CCAAAGGCUUCCCUAGGAGCCACCACAUACACUGUGGCUGUUAAAAU
rfam:Sus scrofa chromosome 6.